GCGGGUAUAGUUUAGAGGUAAAACAACAGCUUCCCAAGCUGUGGUCACGGGUUCGAUUCCCGUUACCCGCUCCA
rnacentral:tRNA from 3 species